rnacentral:rRNA from 1 species
AGGUAAGCUACUAAGAGCGAAUGGUGGAUGCCUUGACUGGUAAAGGCGAUGAAGGACGUACUAGACUGCGAUAAGCUACGGGGAGCUGUCAAGAAGCUUUGAUCCGUAGAUUUCCGAAUGGGGCAACCCAAUGUAUAGAGAUAUACAUUACCUAUAUAGGAGCGAACGAGGGGAAUUGAAACAUCUUAGUACUCUCAGGAAAAGAAAUCAAUAGAGAUUGCGUCAGUAGCGGCGAGCGAAAGCGCAAGAGGGCAAACCCAGUGCUUGCACUGGGGGUUGUAGGACUGCAAUGUGCAAGAGGUAAGUUUAGCAGAACAUUCUGGAAAGUAUAACCAUAGAGGGUGAUAGUCCCGUAUGCGAAAAACAAACCUUAGCUAGCAGUAUCCUGAGUAGGGCGGGACACGAGGAAUCCUGUCUGAAUCCGGGUCGACCACGAUCCAACCCUAAAUACUAAUACCAGAUCGAUAGUGCACAAGUACCGUGAGGGAAAGGUGAAAAGAACUGAGGUGAUCAGAGUGAAAUAGAACCUGAAACCAUUUGCUUACAAUCAUUCAGAGCCCUAUGUAGCAAUACAGGGUGAUGGACUGCCUUUUGCAUAAUGAGCCUGCGAGUUGUGGUGUCUGGCAAGGUUAAGCAAACGCGAAGCCGUAGCGAAAGCGAGUCUGAAUAGGGCGCUUAGUCAGAUGCUGCAGACCCGAAACGAAGUGAUCUAUCCAUGAGCAAGUUGAAGCUAGUGUAAGAACUAGUGGAGGACUGAACCCAUAGGCGUUGAAAAGCCCCGGGAUGACUUGUGGAUAGGGGUGAAAGGCCAAUCAAACUUCGUGAUAGCUGGUUCUCUCCGAAAUAUAUUUAGGUAUAGCGUUGUGUCGUAAUAUAAGGGGGUAGAGCACUGAAUGGGCUAGGGCAUACACCAAUGUACCAAACCCUAUCAAACUCCGAAUACCUUAUAUGUAAUCACAGCAGUCAGGCGGCGAGUGAUAAAAUCCGUCGUCAAGAGGGAAACAACCCAGACUACCAGCUAAGGUCCCUAAAUCUUACUUAAGUGGAAAACGAUGUGAAGUUACUUAAACAACCAGGAGGUUGGCUUAGAAGCAGCCAUCCUUUAAAGAAAGCGUAAUAGCUCACUGGUCUAGUGAUUUUGCGCGGAAAAUAUAACGGGGCUAAAGUAAGUACCGAAGCUGUAGACUUAGUUUACUAAGUGGUAGGAGAGCGUUCUAUUUGCGUCGAAGGUAUACCGGUAAGGAGUGCUGGAGCGAAUAGAAGUGAGCAUGCAGGCAUGAGUAGCGAUAAUUAAUGUGAGAAUCAUUAACGCCGUAAACCCAAGGUUUCCUACGCGAUGCUCGUCAUCGUAGGGUUAGUCGGGUCCUAAGUCGAGUCCGAAAGGGGUAGACGAUGGCAAAUUGGUUAAUAUUCCAAUACCAACAUUAGUGUGCGAUGGAAGGACGCUUAGGGCUAAGGGGGCUAGCGGAUGGAAGUGCUAGUCUAAGGUCGUA